GCCCUUGUAAUAAUCAAAGGUGUAACCUGCCCAAUGGUUUUUAAUCAAAUAAAAAUAAAAGUUUUAAAAGAAAACUUAAAGGACGCGGUAUCUUGACCGUGGUAAUGUAGCAUAAUCACUCGCCAUUUAAUUGAUGGAUAGUAUGAAUGGUUGAACGAAUAUUACACUGUCUUUGAUAAAAAAUAUAUGAAAUUAAAAUAAUAGUAAAGAUGCUAUUUAAAACUGUAAGACGAAAAGACCCUAUAGAGCUUAACUAUAACUUCUUUUAAAAAAAGAAAAUAUUUAUUUUUUAAACAAGAGAAGUUGGUAGUUUAGUUGGGGCGACUAUCUUCUAAACCUAACGAAGAUAAGCAAUGUUAAUGAUAUAUUUAUUGUAUAACUCAUAAGUUUAACAAUUACAAAAAUAGGCCAUAGUGACCCAUUAAACCUAAAAAGUAAGUUUAAUGAUUAAUAAAUAAAAGCUACCUUAGGGAUAACAGGAUAAUUUUGUUUUAGAGAUCAAAUCGAAAACAAAGUUUGUCACCUCUAUGUUGAAUUAAGAUAUCCUAGUUGUGCAGCAGCUAUUGAGGGUGGGUCUGUUCGACCCUUAAAAUCUU
rnacentral:rRNA from 1 species